UACCAGCACCCCGAGUGGUCGGGACGAUUAUUGGGCCGUAAAGCAUCCGUAGCCGGCCUUACAAGUCCUCCGUUAAAUCCAUGCUGCUUAACAGAUGGGCUGCGGAGGAUACUAUAAGACUAGGAGGCAGGAGAGGCAAGCGGUACUCAGUGGGAUAGGGGUAAAAUCCGUUGAUCCAUUGAAGACCACCAGUGGCGAAGGCGGCUUGCCAGAAUGCGACUCGGACGGUGAGGGAUGAAAGCUGGGGGAGCAAACCGGAUUGAGAAA
rnacentral:rRNA from 1 species